rnacentral:misc_RNA from 1 species
GAAAUAUAGUCCAGGCACUGGGACACACAAGCACACAUUUAGACCUGCAUACACACGUGAUCACAUGCACAUACAAUUAUCGUGAGCAUACCUUUUAUAAGCAUCAUCUUUAUGCUUCAAUUGGCAAGCAUACAAAAUCAGAUCAUUCAAAUAUAUUCAAACACAUUAAGACAGGCACACACUUAAAGACAAUACCAUAGUCGCCUAGAACGUGGUACUGUCGAGUCAUCCCACAGGUACGUAGUAGGCCACUUGAUGAAAUAUAGGGUACGCA